rnacentral:rRNA from 1 species
AGAGGGUGCAAGCGUUGUUCGGAAUUAUUGGGCGUAAAGGGCGCGUAGGCGGUGCGGUAAGUCUGUAGGUGAAAUCUCUGGGCUCAACUCAGAGUCUGCUGCAGAAACUGCCGUGCUUGAGUGUGGGAGAGGUGAGUGGAAAUUCCGGUGUAGCGGUGAAAUGCGUAGAUAUCGGGAGGAACACCUGUGGCGAAAGCGGCUCACUGGACCACAACUGACGCUGAGG